rnacentral:rRNA from 1 species
GACGAACGCUGGCGGCGUGCUUAACACAUGCAAGUCGAACGAUGAAGCCGGAGCUUGCUCCGGUGGAUUAGUGGCGAACGGGUGAGUAACACGUGAGCAAUCUGCCCUUGACUCUGGGAUAACUGCGGGAAACUGUAGCUAAUACCGGAUACGACACCUUGGGGCAUCCCAGGGUGUGGAAAGAAUUUCGGUCAAGGAGGGGCUCGCGGCCUAUCAGCUAGUUGGUGAGGUAAUGGCUCACCAAGGCGACGACGGGUAGCCGGCCUGCGAGGGUGACCGGCCACACUGGAACUGAGGCACGGUCCAGACUCCUACGGGAGGCAGCAGUGGGGAAUAUUGCACAAUGGGCGAAAGCCUGAUGCAGCAACGCCGCGUGAGGGAUGAAGGCCUUCGGGUUGUAAACCUCUUUUAGCAGGGAAGGAGCGAAAGUGACGGUACCUGCAGAAAAAGCACCGGCUAACUACGUGCCAGCCGCCGCGGUAA